rnacentral:rRNA from 1 species
GAACGCUGGCGGCGUGCCUAACACAUGCAAGUCGAACGAAGCACUUUUCCCGAGGAAGAGGCGUGCUUGCACAAAUCGGACUCAUUUAAAGUGACUUAGUGGCGGACGGGUGAGUAACGCGUGGGUAACCUGCCUUAUACAGGGGGAUAACAGUUAGAAAUGACUGCUAAUACCGCAUAAGCGCACGGUAUCGCAUGAUACAGUGUGAAAAGCGUAACGGUAUAAGAUGGACCCGCGUCUGAUUAGCCAGUUGGUGAGGUAACGGCUCACCAAAGCGACGAUCAGUAGCCGGCCUGAGAGGGUGAACGGCCACAUUGGGACUGAGACACGGCCCAAACUCCUACGGGAGGCAGCAGUGGGGGAUAUUGCACAAUGGGGGAAACCCUGAUGCAGCGACGCCGCGUGAGUGAUGAAGUAUUUCGGUAUGUAAAGCUCUAUCAGCAGGGAAGAAAAUGACGGUACCUGACUAAGAAGCCCCGGCUAACUACGUGCC